UGAGUUGCAGCAUCUACUCUUGAAAAUUGAGUUUUAAUUCUACGUGGCUUUACCAUAAGGUAAGGUACUGUCUUCUUUGGCAGUAGAUUAUUUUCAAAGCUUGAAUUUUGUUGUUUUAGUUUGCGAAGCCAUUGCCAUUGUUGUUAAAUUGGGUUAAUAUAAUGGGUAAUAAGCUUAUACUGCGAUGUUUUUUGCUUGAAUCCUGAGUUGUUUCAAUUUGAAUCUUGAGCUGUGAGUUGUAGAUUAUGAAUGGCAAUUUCAGGCGCGGAUUGUGGAUUGCGAAUGGAAAUUUCAGGCUGUGGCUGGAUCGAAGAAGGAAAAGGGAAAUAUUUGGUUGUGGUUAGAGUUGGUGGUUGGAGCUCGAUCGACGAAGGAAAGGGGAAAUAUUUGGCUGUGACUGGAGCUCGAUCAACGAAGGAAAUGAAAGAGAAAAUAUUUGGUUGUGGCUGGAGCUCGAUCAACGAAGGAAAGGCAAGGGAAAAUACUUAGGUGGAGCUCCAUCAAAAAAGACUAAGGGAAAUAUUGAAUAAGUAAAAACGGCAUUAUUUUUGGCUUUCAUGAAAUGCUGUGUUUAAAUUUCAGAAUUUGACCCGGGACAAAUAUCAUUUUCGUGACGACAAAAGCUGAAAUCUGAAAUUUAUUACUAAUAGUAAUGCUAUUAGGACCUGUCCUUGCAGAUUCUACAAGUAACGUACUGUGAGUUGACAAGAUGAGACAUGGCUGUGUGGCAUGUGGACGGUGGAUGGAAUGGGAGAUUAUAUUUGCAACCAAGCAUUCUGGUUUUUUGCCGGUGACAAAAUAAUUUCCUCCCGGUUGCUGACCGGUAACCAGUCAGUGAAUUUGGAACAUGGGCCGUGUUCUGAGAUAAAUUACAGAGAUGGGCUGUGUUCUAAAAAUCCAAACGGACUGUGAAUGGUUGUCGGGUUUGGAAUUUAUAAUUGGACUUUGCUACAGCAAGAGAUGCCACGUUGCAUCUUGUGCAUCAGCAUUGUCUCAACAUCCACCAUCCAAUUUUUGUGCAAUCGAAAUGGCUGAGAUAAAGGUGAUACAGUCGACACUGCUUGGCCCUCGCUUCUCGCAUCCAAUCGCGAGUGCCUUGUCGUCGAUAUCGACGUCCAGGUAGUCGCUGGUCAAAUUCGUAAGAGAAAGGUAAAAUGCUGGGGUUGCAAAUUAUUAAUUCUAGGCAUCUUGGUUGAAAAUAAUUUUAAAAAAAAAUUUAUGUUCUGCUACAUAUGUUUAGACUGAAUAGAAUUGUUAUCUUUUGGGAGUAGGUUCAGUAACAGUGAGGACACCAUUCUCCAUUGAUGCCUUGACUUGAUCGAUCUUGGCAUUUUCAAGCAACCGGAACCUCCUCAGGAACUUGCCGCGGCCCCUCUCAACAUGGUGCCAUUUGUUGUUCUUGUCUUCCUUCUCGACGCUCCUCUCGCCGCUGAUCUGAAGGACUCUCCCGUCCUCAACUUCAACCUUCACUUCCUCUUUCUUGAGCCCCGGAAGAUCCGCCUUGAAAACAUGAGCUUCCAGGGUUUCUUUCCAAUCGACUUGAGCACUGGCAAAUGUUGACACCUCAUUGCUGGAGAACCCAAAGGGCGCCCAGACGUCCGAGGAAAAUGGGUCGAACACGCUCCUGUUUUCGAAUAUGGAUGGAAUCAAAGAUAUUUUUGCUUAAUCAACUGAAACGACGAGCAAUUUCUUUCGUGAGCGUUUGCUUACUUAUCAAUUUGGUCUUAAUUACUCUUUACCGAUAGACUAAGUGGAGCUCAUGGCGUGAUAUUUGUCUCCAACCACGUGACAAUUCCCUAACCACAUGACCUUUUGUUACCGCUUACCUCUGGUUGCACAUUAACCUAAUUAAGCCGGUUUCCCACGAAUCUGGAAUUUUGUUUUCCUCUGUUUCUGACCGUUAAAUCUUCUUGUUCUUUCUCGCUCCUCAUCGAACACCUCAGAUAUGCUGUCUGUCACUAACAGAUUCUGUAACUUAGCUGUUUCCAUGCUGCCACUGUGGCUUGUAGUCCAGUAGUGAACCAUUGCCCUUAAAAUUAAGUAUGAUUAUGAGGGUAAUUAUUCGAAUUCUCACGGACUUAAACUCUUUCAAUUAAUUAUAAUUGUGUGGAGAUUGCUUAUAACGUAUUUCUCUUUUGCGAAAUGCGAGUAAAAUAGAGACAUUCCUCACCGGGAGAGGUAUUUAGCUAGACAUGUAUUUCAUAGAAUAAAAAUGUAAUAAUGUAAAUCUCAUGUAUAUAUUUGAUUGUAAAUAUUAGUGCAAUGAUAUGUUGUCAUUUGUAAAUAUCUAUGUGUAAUACAAUAACAUGAUGCUUAAUCAGUUCAAAAAAAAAAGUUGUUUCCAUGCUAUUAAAUGUGAAGAAAAAAACACAAAAUAAUGAAAAAAGCUUUUCUUCUUUUUUUCCCCCAAAAAAUUAUUAAUAAUAUAUUUUUCUUUCAAUAAUACAGGGGCCAUAUUGCCUUUAUUUGAACUAGAGCAUGGCAAUAGAAGAAGCAUAGAACCUGCUUAAUUAUUAACAUCGCAGAAGAAAAGACUGCAAACUGAAAGUUUCUGAAAUUGAAACAACUAGCAUUUAAAGAAGAAAUUGAAGGCACAUUCUGAUUAGUUGAGUAGCAUAAGCCGAAUUGGCUACACAAAACCAUUGGCCAAGAAAGAGCGCAUUACAGUGGAGAUUAAGGUUGAUUGAGCUGAAGGACUCAGUGCUCAACUUGCACACCUGUGUAACAUCUCCCUCUUGUACACCAUAUUAGGAAAGUUGGAGAAGACUUUCCGAAUCCAACUGCACAUUUCAUAAUAAACAGUUCAAAGAAAUAUAUCAUCAAUGUUUCAUAAAUAAAGGUUAAAUGCUCCUUUAAUCCCUAUCAUUUUUAAAAGUACCCAAAAUAUAAUCUCCUGUUAUAUAUUGAUGUUCGUUAAAAGCUACUAAACUACUCUUUAUUUUUCGCCUGUUGCAUGCUAAAUUUGCAUAAAUUUUAACUUAUGUCGAACAAAAAUUACUGUUCAUAAUUAAAAAUUAGAGCCAACCAUUAUAGAAGUAACAAUAUGGAUGUUUUGAAUAAUUUACAAAAACAUAGAGACUGAUUGUGUAAUUAGUUCAAAUUCCAGAUGCUAGCAGAGAAUUUAUCAAAGGUAUAAAAUCAUGCAUAGAUUAUAAACAAAUGCUACAUUGCAAGUACGGGGCUUUCAGCCACGGAGACAAUGACGAGAACAGCAAGAACCAAAGCCAAAUUUCUUCAAUUCACGUAUUUCCUUUAUCUUGCUUAGUAGAAACUUGUAUGAUCUAUGUUACGAAUUCAAUUAAACCAUCAAUAGUAAAAUCUCCCUGAAAGAGACCACAAUUUAAAUUCUACAUUUUUUUUAUUACAUGAUUUUACAUCAAAUAGGGACGUCAAUCCUCACUUAAAUUUUUAAGGAAAGAAAUUUCAAUUAAACCCCCACAAUACUUUUAUGGGGGGUUCAAAAGUGGCUCUAGGCUAAGUGAUUGUUUAAAUCCCACAUCUAAAACUCAAAACUACCACCACAUCCACAUUCCUUCAAUUUUAUUUUUACUAAGUAAUUAUCAAGCCCUUAAGACUAAUAGCGAAUUUACCCAAGUUAUAAAAAUCAUGCGAUAAAUGAAUAAACAAAUGCUAUCAUGGGCAAUACUUACUUGCAAAUGUGCAGCUUUCAGCCCAAGACAACAAAGAAGAACUGGGGAUGGUAAUUUGACCUGAUCCUAAUUUUUGACCCAACUAACUUAAUCUUAAUUUUUCAAGCUUUGACCCGAAUGUUCAGGCUUCGGAUCGAGUUUGGGCCAAAAUUUUUAGGCCUGAUCAAAUUUUGGGUCAAGGUCAGGCUUAAGCCAACCCGACCCGACCCGACCCUACCCUAUAUUUUAAAAAAAAAUGAUUGUGAUCCUUGUGAAAUUAAAUUGUGUGUAGAAUAAAUGGUUGUAGAAUUGAAUUAUGUAUUUAAAACUUAAUUGCACUGUGUGUUUUUAAUGUUGGAUUGUGGAAUUGAACUGUAAAAAAUCAUUGCUAUUAAUUUGGUUGCUUUGUGAAUUAUUUUGUAAUUAGUUAUAUUGUAUAUUUUGCAUAUUGUUUUGUGAAUUAUUUUAAGUUAGAAAAAUCGUUUCUUUUAUUUUAUAUUUAUGGUAUUGUAACUAGAAAGACAACAAAAAUUGUAAAGUAACAUAAAUAAAAUUAAGAUGUACUUAUAAAAUUAGAAGAUAUUGAUAAAAUAAUGUAAAAACAAAUUUAUGGUUAGAUCGGGCCGGACUCCAAUCCGACCCCAAGCAUAAAUAAUAGAGUUUUUUUAAAUGAUCAGACUUUUAAUUUCAUUGAUCGGGUCGGGUUCGGGCUUGGAUGGAUAGGAACAAGGAUCAAAGCCAAAUUACGAGACAUGUAGGUUUUGAAUUCAAUAACGCGGCUUAAUUAAGAACGAAUUUGCGGAGGAUCCCUAAUCAAGGUAACGCAUUGAAUGAAAAUUAAACUACUUUACAUUGCUUUCCCAUCAACCAGGAUAUUGUAUUUACAACUGACAAGUAAAAUUCUUUAUGAAUUCUUGUUCUUUAAUGGUAAAUUCUCCAUUAAUUCUUAGUCUUUAAUGGUAAAUUCUCCGGUUCAAGGUAAACACAAGUUCAGCCAAUUAUUCAAAUACUAGUCAUAUCGGUAGUCAGUUUUUAUGCCUUCCGGCGACUAAAUCAAACAAUGGCGACCUAACUCCGGCGUGGAUCGUCCAUCCCCCUGGUGAUACUUGAGCCUGACCAUCAGAUGAAAAUACCCAACUUCAUGUUUGGUUGAAAAAAAUAGUAGCAGGAGGAGACGGAUGAAAAGGAAAGGGAAGAAAAGAAAAUGAGUAAAGAAGAGAGCCAAUUUCGUUUUUAGUGUUUGGUUGAACAAAAAAAAAUCAUUUUUCUCUUUUUAUUUCUUUCUACUCUCCUCUUUUCCUCCUCUUCUCUUCUUUUUUUUCUUUUCCUUAUGUUUCUUGUUUCCACUCUCCUCCUUUCCCUUUCUUCUUUCCUUAAAUUUCUUGAAACCAAACAUGACAUAAAAACCUCGUUACAGGUCAAAUCUAAGGGAAAGUGUUAAUUUAUAAUAAUGAUAAAUCUAUCAAGUAUCACCAGCACAGUUCAAAUCCCCCCAUCUAAAACUGAAAACUACCACCACAUCCACAUCCCAAAUCUAAAAAAAGUCUUCUGAAGUGAAUUGUCAACUUCAAGUUCUUCACAUACAUACUUAUUACAACUUCAGAAGUUUCAUUAAAUCACAAACAGAAUUUCCCAUCCUUCCUCUAAAUCCUUGAUUGUUUGAUUACCAGUGUCUAAUAAAAGGAUAAGAACUCCACAGCACCAAAUCAUAUACAAAAUAAAACGAUAGACGAAUUAAAAUAUAAAAAAUGUAGGUCAUAACCAGGCCCCCAAAUCAGAGAUCAUUAGGGGCAGACAUGCAGACCCAAAUCAAUUUCUGUGCACAUAACCAUGCUACCUUCAUCUCUAUAUAUAUUAAUUCCAGAGCAUCGGCUUAUUGUGCACAGAUUUUAUUAUAUAAAAAAAAUCAAAAAUAAAAGAAAACUGAACCCCAGAACAGAACCUAAAAAUGUGUCGAAUCCUAAAACAAAGCCCUCGGAUCAGAGAGAUUGCAUCCAGAGCAGAAGUUUAAGACCCAUUUAAAAUUUUUAUUUUCUGUGCUUCGCCACCUUCAUCCUUUAAAGAGACAUAUCCCGAGACCAGACUUUGGCGCACAGCCAUGAGAUACCUAAGAGCGAAGAGUGAAGUCGCUGAACCAUGUCUAAUUGUCUAUAAAUAGUGGAACAUUUCUCAUCCUUAGGGUUAAGCGUUAGCGAGGUGAAAAGACCGAAAGACCGAAAGACCGGAGUUACUUUGUGUUGAGCAUCAGCCCAUACCCCGACCCGUAAAUUAUAGAUUUAUUUGGGCUUUACUAUUAAAAUCCCAAAAUAUUCCUAUGCAUCCCCCACUUUCAGAUGCAUUCAAUCGAAAAGCUUAAAACAUGUUGCCCAUGACCGUCACAAAAAUUUUCGGGUAUUUUUAGAACAUUGAUCCUUAUCCAUUUAUUUCUUAUUAGGUAUUUAUUUCAAUCAAUCAUAAUAAUAUGUAUGUUAAUAUGGUAAAUAGUGAAUGGAAAAAAAAAACAAUACUAUAAGGUCAUGUUUGGUUUAAAGAAAAAGGAGGAGAGGAAAAGAGUGGAAUGGAAAGAAAGGGAGAAGAGUAGUGAAAUUAGAUUUUGUUAUUUGGUUUGAUAUAAAAUUUAAUAAGGAAAAGAAUUAUAAUUUUUUUCUUUAGACAAAUUUAUCAUUUUCCUUAAAUAUUAAACUAUUUAUAUUAGUAAUAUAUAUAUAUAAAAUGGCAGUCCGGUGGCCGGCGACCGGCGGCUGUCUGGCGAAGUCCGACAGUGGUCCGGCGACGGUCCAUUUAUAAUAUUAAAUCAAUAAAAUAAAAUUAUAAAUAAUAAUUAUUAAUGGCAUUAAAUAAGUUAAAAAGUUGAAGGGUAAUUUUAGAAACUUUAGUUUCUAAUAUAAGAGGAAUUUAAAUUCUUCACUACUUGGUGUGGAAUUUAAAUUCUACAUUAUGAUGAAUAUUAAAUUCUAAUAGAAAUUAAAUUCUUACAUAUUUUGUCAAACCAAACAAUAAAAAUAAAAAGAGAAUUUAAAUUACUUUCUUCUCAUAUAUUCUCUUCUCCCAACCAAACACCACAUAAGAGCACCAAAGACUUUCUCUGCCCAUAGACUUAUUGCCACUUAUAUUCUCACAGGUUAUUUUAUCUCAAAAAAAAAAAAAAAAAAAACCAAGAAGAGAAAGGAUAUUUGUCCCAUAGGUGAACUCCAAGUUCGAAUUGGGCCUCGACUAGAUAAAAUUUUGUUUUCCAAUUUUUUUGUUUGAGUUGAGCUAUUAGCACCCCUUUAUUGUUCUAAUAAAACACUUUUGAGAUAAAAUUACAUUAAAGAACAUUUUCAAAAAAUUUAAACCUAUUAUUAUUUUUCUUUCCACCAAUUCUUUACACCACUCCUGCGAAAUUUACCUUUUCUUUUUUCGGCCAACACUUUUGCAUUCAUCAUCCAUCUUGUUAUGCUACUGUAUUAAUAUAAUCUCUUGCUAAUCUCAAGAUCAGAUGAAUAAAAAUAGCUUAAGAAUUAGCAACCAACAGAAAGUUUUUUGAAGUCAAAUACACACAAAUUUUUGUAAGGAUGUCUACAAUUCACUCUUGCGAAAUUGGUUCAUAGACAUCCAAAAAUAAGAGUUUGGCUUUAAGAAUUUUGAGAUGAAUUUGUUCUAUUAUUCAUAAUUUUUUUUGUAGUCCUGAUGAAUUUAAUUUUAUUGAAGAAAUCAAGAAGGAAAGAAACACAUCAAUUAAAGUUGAAAAUUGUAAACUUGUAGGUUAUCCUAAUCUACACAACAAUAAGUGCCACAGAAGCAAAAAUUUUUUAUUUGCAGCACCUCAUGAAUCAUGAUUACCCAAUUGUCAGGGCAUAAACAUCAAGAACAAUCUCUCUAUUUCUCUCUUUUUUAAUAGUUUUCUUAUAAGUCAAUUAUUUCCUUAAGGAUUGGUUUUAAACUCUAAAUUAAAAUGUACAUUUGAUUGAAAUUAAAGAUGAGAAAACUGAUAGAAAGAGAAGGAGAAAUAAGAUACUUGUAUUUCGGAUUUUAGGAGAGAGAAAGUUAUUUAGAAUAACUGAAAUAAUGAUAUUUUUAGAAUUAAAGAGGGUGUUAAUAGUUAUGAUGAAUUUUCUAAUAUUAUUUAAUGGGCUACACUUAAUUAGCGGGGUUUUAAUAGAAUGUAAGAGGGGUGCAAAUAGCACCACUCUUUUUGUUUUGUUUCGUUAGGACCCAAUUGGAGGCUUGCUUUAGUAGGUCAUCACUCCUUUUAAAAUUGUCACAAUCUACUCACUUUUUAAAUAUAUUCUUAUACUGUGAACUUGUCACCGCUUAUUUAACUAGAUCUAAAAUUUAUUAGAACUCUAAAUAUAAAUUUAAUAUUAUUUAAAAUUCUACUGAAUAUUAGCUCAAAAAUCUGCUCCAUUAGAGGCACGGUGCAAUCAUGUAAUUUAAAAUAGUCAAUAAAAGGAACUUAUUAUUAUUAUUAAUAGCUCCAACAAAGUGAUUUCUAAUAUUUGUUUACUAAAAUAUCAUCACAUCUCGUGGAUCCAUUUCUUUAACUCUCAACUGUCUAUUCGGUCAAAUAUUUGAUUUUAAGUUUUAACAAGAAUCAGCAAGCGAACUAGACAUUUAUUCCGGCCAAUGCAGUUAGCAGCUUUGGGUACUCAAUUUCGAUGCUGAAAUUCCGGCCAAUGGAUCUUGAAACCCAAUGCUAUAACUCGCCCUCUUGGCAUUUAUUUAUUUUUUUAAUCUCAAAUCUAAGUAGACUAGAAUUGAUUUAAAAUCUUAAUAGAUCUAAAUAUCUUAAUACGAAUAAUAUAUUUAUUUUUUGUCUGAAUCUCUCAAAUAAAGAUUAAGUUUAUUUUUUCAACUUUAAAGACUAACAAUAUGUACUUUUACAUUUGUAUCUUUAUAAAUUUGAAUGUCUAUAUCAGAGAACAUUAAUACCAUAAUUUUUUUUCAUAUAUAAGUAAAAUCAUGUUCAAGUGAAUACAUAAUGAUUUUUGAAUUAUAAUAUUUUUAUGAAAACAUAUUAUAUAAUUACAUAAAAAAUUAAUAAUAAUACCUUUGAUUACCGAUAAUAGGAGAUUCAAGCACUUGAUAAAAGAAGCAGAAUGAGGAAGAAUUCUAUGAUGGCUGAAAAAAAUAAAAAUGAGAGUAUUAGUGGGUAAAUGUGUAUAGGCAUGUUUUGGGAUAUAUAUGAAAAAUAAAUAAUAAAGUAAAGAUUUUUUUUACAUUGCAAAUUAGUUAAUGGAUUCAGAUUUCUCCAUUUAGUAGAAAGUAAAAAAAAAUUGGCCUAUUUUAUUAAGUCAAAUUAUCUGAAAAAUCUUAUUAAGUUAUAAAAACAAACAUUUCUGAUUAUCUUAAUUAAUUAAGUUAAGUCACUUUAAGUCAUUAAAUUAAAAAACAAUCACCCUCUAAGUCGUGGCAUUUGAUGAUGUAAGCUUGAGCUUCCUGAUGACUCAUUUAAGUUUCUUGUAUUAAAAAAUAUAAAUUAGAAACAAGUUUUUUUUUUCUCCUAAAUAUAGAUAUGUGUAAGAGUACAUAGAUUUUUGAAUAAAUACUCGACGAACCUAUGCACUGUAUCCAGAAUUCAAUACUCUCUCCAUCAAAGAAGUGCUCGCAUCAAUACUCUCUAUCCAUGUUGUUUGUAAACUCCAUAAUUUCCUUUGAUCUUCUCUCUCUUCCGACCUAGUCUAUCUAUAUUGAGUACAAACACCAAAAAAAAAAAAAAAUCAUAUUACCAUAACUGUUGUGAAAUAAAACCUUUAGAUCGAUAAUAUUUAAUAAGUUUGAGAUUUAAAGUAUGAAAAAAAUUUGAUAGAAUAAUUGUUGGAACGAAAUCUCUUAUGCUCCUAAACAUCAAAAUUAUUAACCUUAUGUUAUUUCAAUCAAUCAUAUUUUCAACAGAUGAAUAUAAUAAAACAUGGACUGGGAUUAUUGGCACCCCUCUAAGUACCUAUUCACACCCCCUUUACUUUAUUAACUCCAUUAAAAUAUUAUAAAUAAUUGUAAAAUUCUUAACAUCUUCUUCAAUGAUGAAAAUGCUCUUACUUAAAACUUGCUAGUUUAAACCCCAUUCUUUAAUUUUUAUUUAUUUUUUUGUUAAACUUUUUUUUUAAGUAAGGAGAAUCAUGAAUAAUUUCUUGAGAAAAAACAAUGUCCAAAUUUAGUAUCCUAGAUUUUUGGGGCAAUUAAGCCAUAAUCUUGAAUAGUAAAAUUUAAAUUUAAUUUAAAUAGAGAUUUUUAGCCAUAAAACGAACAAAUUAACAAAAAAAAUGGAGACAUAUUAUCAUCUUGAGUAAUAUCUAAGACAAGAAAACAAACAACUCUAGCUUUUUCAAAGUUUUUCUUUAAAAAUAUGAGAGGAAUAAAAUGACCAUUAAAAUGGUUCAAAAUUUUCUAAUAUUGUCAUUGACUAGCUAGAUCAAUUGUUUCUUGUGCAAUAACUUCAAACACAAAAAUCCUUAAAAGUAGUUAUAUUAGUUUCGUAUGGUAUUGCCUAACCUUCUGUACGUAGUUCAUGGUACUUGAUCCAACGCUUUGCAAUAAGAGGAAUCGGUGAAGUUGGAAGCAUGAACACCUACAUUAAAAAGCUAUACAAAAAUUAGUCCAAUAAUAAAGAUAUUAUAGCAUAAUUUGAAUUCCUUGAGUUUUAUAUACCUCUAUGAAAUGAUUUCUAUUAACAAAUCUAAUAGUAAUGAUUUUAUAGAAGGCGCGUGACAAUGGAACAUAUCUGAAUGGAAGGAUUUUAAUAUUUGACAGAAAUGAUAUAUGUAGGAAUGCCACAUUAUAUUUAGAAGUAAUAAUAUGACCAGUUUCGGGCAUGGUCAUCCAAUACUCUCUCCUUGGGUUAUUCUCAAAGUAUAAAAGUGAAUGAAGCACCUCAUUUGCUCUACCAACAUAUUCAAAAUCUUUUUUAUAGUCAUCAAAAUGAAUUUGCCACUCAACAAUUAGGUCUUUUCCUCACCUAUGCCCAAUUAUCCUCGCCAAUAUCUAUUAGGUCAGCCACUACUUGAAAACCACAAUUACCAUCUGUAGCAACAUUUUUAACACCACAUAUAUAAAGCCUCAACUCAAAUGAAAAUAAAUCAAUAUAAGAAGCAUGCUUUGGUGCUUUUGUUCAAGAAACACUGAUUUUUCGUUGUCCUUAUGGUUUUUUUGUAGUUGUACUUAAAGACACAAGGCCUGAAGAAUGAUUAUCCUGUGUAGAUACUACAUACUUAAAUCUUGAUGGAUCCCGAAGGGUCGAUUUAUCAAACUUUUGGGAAGGUUGUCCUCAAGUUUUAGCCUUAACAGUUGGCUCAAUUAAAAAUAUUGAGGAUAGAUCAGCUAACUCUUUCAAUUUUAUUUUUAUUUGCAUUUUUUUGAAAUCAUCAGAACCAUUAAUUUCAUUUCAAGAGUAUAACUCAACUUCGCUGAUUUUUCAUUGCUGGUAUGAACAAAGGCCAAUUUCCUUCAAUGUGAAUGUACAUAUAUUAAAGGUAUUGGAUGACCUUCACACUUAAGAUAUGCAAUUUUUUGUGCACAUGGUAACCCAUGAGUGUGUCAAACUACACAAUCACAUGUUGAAACAUCUACCCAAUUGAAUCAACUUUUUUUGACUCACUAAGUAUCAUAUCUAAUGUAUUUCUAGCAAUUAAACCUCUUUAUUCUUUAAAAAUUGAAGGUGUUGCACAUUAGUCAAACUCUUCUCAAAUGAUACCUUAAUUUGCGUAUGUUGCAACUCAACCAAAGAAUAAAAGCUUUGUCCUUAACACUACAAGGUUUCCUUGGGAUGAACAUAGUUUCCUCUUUAAUUUUGAAUGUGUAGUCCCGGCCCUAAAAAUAAACCAACAAAAAUUAAAAAAUAGAAAGAUAUAUUGAAAGAAAAUGGUGUUGAGUUUAGUUAUUAAAUCAUUGAAAAUUAAAUACUUUUUACCUAUUGGCUAUUAUAUUUCUUAAUUGCAUAAUAAGGUCUGUCCAUUUUGUAACAAAAUUUUCUUUAUACUUAUCAAGUCAUGUCUGCUUCAUAUAAACAAGUGUUGUCGGAUAUCUAGCAUAAUCACUCUAAACAAUACUCAACUGUUGUAUGUACUCUUGUUUAGUGGUUGAGAACACCAAUACAUUCCAACUGCUAUUAAAGGCUUCUAAUCUUUCAUUAGUCUCAAAUAGCUAGUUUCUUACAAUUAACUAACACAUUUCUUGAAAUAUGUCAUCUACAAAGUAAAUUAGUUGCAUUUGAAAAUAUCUUUUCAAUAGCAUUCAUCAGAGCUAAUUCUCUUUUUAUCACAAUUACACUUGGUAACAUAUCAUCUUGCAUAAUGGUUUUUAAUCUCUUCAAUGCUCAAAUAUAGUUAUCCUCUCGCUUGGACUCAAGAUAUGCAAAAUCAACAUUAAAUGUCAUUGUAGUUAAUGUGACACCAACUAUUUCCAACAAUGGAAACUUAUAUUUGUUGACUUUAUAAGUGCAGUCCAUUAUUAGAACAUUUGUGAAAGCUUUUAACAAUUCAAAAGUAAGAGGAUAUGCCCAAAAUAUGUCUCUUACACAAUUUGUAUCAUCAUCACUAUGACGUCAAUCAAUGUAAUUAUGAUCAUGCAAUUUGCUUAUAAGUUGUUGCAUUUGUGACUGUCCACCCAAUUCGCGAACCUUAUAUUUAUAUCGAGCAUUACAAAUCGCCUUCAUCGUUGUGACACUAAACGUGUCCCUAGUCUUUAAUAUAUAAAAUAUCUCUUUUGGUCGAACAUUAUUUUUAGACAGAUCAACCAAUGUACUAACCUCUUCAUUAGUAAGUCUACUUGCAAAUGAGUGUCCCUCAAAAUGUUGUGCAACAUGAUGGUUAUGCAAUCCACAAAUCACUUUUAACAUCCAAUCUUGAUUAUUCGCCCACAUUUGCCCCUUUAAUAAAAAUGGACAGCCACACUUUUUUAUUCCAAUUGCAUUGGUUCUUUUCUUCUUUUCCAAAUUGUUAUUCUGCUUAUUUGCACCAGAACUUCUUUUGGGAUUCACCACUUCUUUCACAAGGAAAACUUAUCCUUGGUCUCCUUCCAAUCACAUUCAGGCAAGAUUUUUUAAUAACAAUCACAAGUCCAUUUUUAUGGGGAAAUUUACCCAUUUAACUACUUUCCAACUUUUAAUAUAAAAAAAGACCUCACUUUAGUUUUUCUUACAAUAACAAUCACUUACAAAGCUCUCGGACCAAACUACCUAUAAAUUCUCAAAACAAGACACACAAAAAUUUCGUCCAAUAUUAUCCAACUCCUAAGCAACAGCUGAACAUCUACACACACCACCAAAACACUCCUCAUUUCACCUCUCCCACAUUAUCCAAUUAUCACUCAACCUCCAUUUUAUCUGUCUCACAUUCAUCAAACUAAUAUAUUUAUCUAAGUAUUGAAGACAAAAUCAAGCAACAAACUAAAGAAUAAUAAAAAGUUAUUAUUAGUAUUUCUUCAAUCUUUAUCUCUUAUUUUUUAUUGGGUUUCAUACAAAAGAACAAUUGCUCAUUUUAUUACAAUGUGGGUACAUUAAAUGGUUAAUAUGAGGUCAUAGAUUUAUAAAUUAAUAAAAUUUCGGCAAAAUCUGAUGAAAAUGGGUUUUGAACGAUGUUGAAGAUGAAACCUAGAAUCCAGGCGACAAGUACCUAUCGCCCUGGUAACAAAAUUGUCGCCUAAGCUUAGAAUGACUUGUCGCCCCAAGCCACAGACUGUGUCGCCCGAUUUUCCAAAGAGCUGUCUAUUGCUUGGUUUAGUCAAGCAUCAUGUAAGUCUCGGAAAAAUCGGGCGACAACAUGUAUCGCCCAACCAAAUCAUGCUGUCACAUAUUUACAUGGCUUGUGUCACCCACGUUGCUCAGUCUCCCACGCCAUGGAUGGCCAUUUGGUUAGGUGAUGGGGAGAAGCCACUCGCCUUGCCCAAGCUUGACAUGGCCAAAUUUUAGGCAAUACGGGCAACCAUCCAUAUUCUUGAUUGGCCAACACACCAACCUUCUCUUUAACCUCAAAAUAAUUCUAAGUUUAGAUCAAUAAUUUCUUAUAGGCAUUUAAACAGACACUUGGUGUGCUAUUUAUUAGCUAUCUUAAUGUUAAAAAAAAACUCUCAUAUUUUCAUGCCUAAUACACAUCCUAGUGAUUAACUAUGAUCAAUGAUGAACCAACCAGACAUUUAAACAAAAAUUUAUUCUAAAUUCAUGAAAAAAAAUCAAAAAAGUACCUAAGCCACCGAAACCGUAUGUGAAGGAACUUGCUGGAAGCAAAAUAACUCACACACGCCACUAGAAGUGAAGGAAAUCGCCAUUGGAAGUGAAGGAACUCGGCGGAACUCAAGAAACGCCGAAAGUGAAGAAACUUUGUGUGGGUAUAAUUGGGCGGUAGGAGUUGUUUUUAAGUGAAUAUUGGGCAAAAUGUUUGUGUGUUUUGUUUUGAGAAUUUAGGGGUAAUUUGGUCCAAGAGCUUUGAAAGUGGUUGUUAUUGUAAGAAAAAUUGAAGUGAAGUCUUUUUUUAUAUUAAAAGUUGGAAAGUAGUUAAAUCGAUAAAUUUUCCAUCAUCCACGGUAGAACUAUCCUCCUUCACAAUGAUUAUAUAGAUAUUAUGUAAGUUAAUAUAACAAAUCUUGAAACUCGAAGAAUAGCAAUUUAUUCAACAAUAAUCAGUUGAUAUUUGUUAAGGGGAUUUUUUUUAGCAUUGUUCAACAUUCUCCUUACCAUUAUAACUCGAAAAUAACAAUAAAAUAUUAACAAACUUACUUUUUCAUUAUCAUCUUCUUCCGUUUGCUUCAUUAUUGUCUCCUAAAUUUGAAACUCUUAAAUUAGAGUUUAAGAAAGAAAUGAGAGUUUAAACUAGAUACUGUUUAAAGAAUUUAAAACUCUUAAAUAAAAUAUGGCAUAUUAAGAAUUUUUAAGGAGAAAAUUUUACUUGACUUUAGAGUAGAAAUUUAAUUAAAAAUUAUCCUAUUAUGUAAUUUUAGUAAAAACUAAAUUUAUAAAAUAACUAAAAAUGUUUCAAGAGACGUUUGGAGGGGCGCCAAUAGCCCCACUCUAAAACACAAAAGACAAAACAAGGGUAAACUCUGGUAGUUGGCAAAAAAAAUUAACAAUAUCCAUAUUAUAUUCCAAAGUAAGUCAAGAUUGUGGGUCCUGGUCAAAGGAGGAUAUGGCACAUUCGUAAAUGUUGAACGAUGAUAAACCGUGGUGUUUCAAUGGCCGCGUGUAUUUGAUUGAAACUAUGAGUGAAUUUAAAAUUGAGAUGUUGUAACUUUUAAGUUAUAACUGUUAUGAAAAAAAUUUAUAAAUAUGAAAUAAAAAUUAAUAAUAUAUAGUAAAUAUAAAUUUUAAAUAAUAAUUUUGAUAAAAUUAUUAAAGAUAUAACAAAUUUUCCAUUAUUCAAAUGAAAAAUCGUAUUAACAUAACUUUCAAGUUACAUCAAUUAAUAUUUACUAAACACUUUAGUAUUGUUUCUUUUAAGAUACGGCUACCUAAUCUCAAUUCCAAAUGCACCAUAUGUUUGGUCUUUUCUUGUUUGCUUGCAUGUACUUAUUAUUAUUAUUAUUAUUAUUAUUAUUAUUAUUAUUAUUAUUAUUAUUAUUAUUAUUAUUAUUAUUAUUAUUAUUAUACUUGUGACACAGGUAAAUUACAAUCUAAACUUUACCAAGAUUCUAUAUACAUUCUAUCAUAAUUCAAAAAUUUUCGGAACAUUAAUUUAAAAAUUCUACGCCCACAAAUAAGUAGGAAAAAAUUUGUUUCUAAUCUAUAAAUUAACUUCACAACUACACACGAGUUAAAAAGUAUUCCAAAUAAUAUGUUUUUAAUUAAAGAACAGAAGAAACAUUGUUUUGUAAUAAUAAUAAUAAUUGUAAUAAUAAUUAGUGAUAUAAUCUAAUUAUAUGUUGAAAGUUUGGGUUUAUGAGAGGAUUUAUCUUUACUUUACAAGGAGAAAAUGGAUUUUUAAUUUGUGAUUAUUAAAAUUAUAUCAGAACUCUUUUAAAAUUAACCCUAAAAGUGUUAAGAAAUAAAAAAAAAUGUUUUUUUUUUUAAAGAACACUUGGGAAAAUAAGAAUGUAAACAACAGCGUGUAGACUGUAGACAUAAAAUAAAAAAAAAAAAAAUUGAAUUAGGUUUAAGCACAGAUUAUUUAAUAAUAAAAAAUACUUCUGCCCUUCUUGGCUUCUUUCAUAAUAGAUGUGGCCCUCAUAUCACUUUCUCUUCUAAUCCAAGAAACAGCGUGUACACAUAAAAUAUUUUCCACUUCUAUUUUUUAAUGGAUCAUAAUUAAUUUUUCCAAAAUUGAAAAAAGAACAAAUUCUGUCUUGGCCAAAUAACAUAGAGGUCUCCUUUUCUUUUAUGAUUUACCAAGUAAGGAUGUCAUUCUUCCAUUUGUAUCAAAUACACCCUAGCCUCGAUCUAAUGAAAUAACUCAUCAUAAGGAUGCAUUACCAAAUUUAACACAAUCUAUCACUAGCGAGUAGCGACCAUCGUAAUACUUCUUCAACAAUAAUUUAUAGGUAUUACACCAUCCAUUAUUGUUGGCCAUCAAUUUUAAGUUUUUACUUAAAUCGUAUUUAAUUUUGUUGGUGUUCACGUCGCCGAAUAUAAGUAACAAUAUAAAUAUCACUAAAGAUUGAGGUAUUGUUUAUGAAAAAAUAAAAUUUAAUGAUUCAGUACCAUAACUUAGGCCAUAAAACAAUUGUGAUUUUUUUUUUGGGUCUCUAUGAGAGUGUGGGUGGUGACACCAUUAACUGACGAUGAGUACAAUGACUAAAUCCAUAAAUUUUAAUUUUUGUUAGAAUAUUAAUGCAAUUGUCAGUGAUAUUUGUAUUAUUACCUAAAUUUGACAAUAAGGAUUUAGGGUGUGUUUGGGAUUGAGAUACUGUAACUUUUAAGAUAUAAUUGCUGUGAAAAAAAAAAUUGUAAUUAUGAAACAAAUGUUAGUAAUAUGUAGUAAAUAUAAAUUUUAAAUACUAAUUUUGACAAAAUUAUUAAAGAUAUAAUAAAAUUUUCAUGAUGCAAGUGAAAAACUACAUCAACAUAAUUUUUAAGUUACAGCAGCUACUGUUUACCAAAUAUUUUAAUACUGUAGCUUUUAAGAUACAGCUAUCCAACCUCAAUCCCAAACGCACCCUUAGAGACUAUAGGUUAUAAAAAUGACUAUUUGCGGUUACUGAACCCAAGGAAGUCCUGAAAGAGUAAUGCACAUUGGUCUAGGUGCUUGUUUUACGGAAAUUAAUAAUCUUCAGCUCUACUAAAGAAAUUUGUAAAAAUACAGAGAUCUAAAUGUUAUAAUCCCAUUUUAUGAAAAUAAAAAAAUUCGAAAAAAAUAAAACUAAAAAAAGAAAACCAAUCGAUUUACGCGGCUUUGAGUAUCGCCCGUUACAAAACAAUCCGCAAUUUCCGAUUUUAUACAGCUCUUAUUUUAAUUAUUUUUAUCUCUUCUUAAACUGCAGUUAGUUUCUUUUUUCGUCAAUUUAAAAGGAAAAAUAGUAACCAAGAAAAAAAAGCUUUAACGAAAGAUCAAAGAAAUUUCGAUCAUUUUGCCCUCAAGGCGGGGGAUGGCGGGGCAAGGUUUGAUACGCUCGCCGUCGCUGACGCAGCGUCGGCAACCGCUUUUGGCAAAAAAUGGUCAAGAAAGGAGGGGAAUAAGUUCGGAGAGUUCGUCGGAGGGACGACCGCGGAGUGCGCGGCGGUGUGCUGCUGCUGCCCGUGCACGGUGAUGAACCUCCUCGUGCUGGCCGUUUAUAAGGUGCCGGCGGGACUGUGCAAGAAGGCGUGGAGGAAGCAGAGGAAACGGCACCGCAUUGCGAGGAGGAAGCAGGUGGGGGGCCUCCUGAUGGGCCCCACCACCGGCGGACCCAAUGCGGAGGAGAAGGUGGCGCAGACGGAGGAGUUGUUGGUGGCGGCGGCGGAUCAGCAGGAGGGGGAGGAUGAAAAAGCUGCUGAGUUGGAGAAGGCGAUGUGGGACCGCUUUCAUGGAGCCGGGUUUUGGAGGAGUCCAUCUCAGAAAGAAAAAGAAUAAACGACGCCGUUUCCUUCCUUAAAAGUAAAUAUUAAUAUUAUAAUUGUUAUACUGAUAACUGUACCAAAAAUUGCACGUGCAAGAACUGUUCGGUUAGAGGAUCUUUUGAUAGGGUAAGCUCAGGUGCAGAGUUUGUUUGUAUAGAAAAUUAUCAUAUAUUGUUCCCAAUGUUUUGAGGUCCAAUUACAUUACAUGUAUAACAAAUAUACCUUCUUCGGCUUUAAUCUUUAAUCUUUACAGAUCUUGCAUCAAAAUUUUGAUUUUGAUUUUGAUUUUGGAUUCUCUUCUGCCAUUCAUUUAAAUCCUUUUAAGUUUUUUUUUUUCUUUUUUCCUGUUAAAAAGGAUAAACAUAUUGUUAUGGUUUUUACACGUCACACGAGAUCACUUUUGAGACAGACAAUCACUUUUUGUACAAAUAUUAAAAAUUUGUGGGAUCCUUUUUCAAACAAGGAAUCUUGUGUGACUAUUUCUGAAAAUGAAAACAAAAUUAAGUUUGUAUGUUCUGUAAAAGAAUUAUGUGAUCAUUUCUAAAAUUAUUAAGGGUUUAUGUGAGACUAUUUUGUCAAGCUAUGGAUUUUUUUUCUUGUUAAAGAGUAUUUGAAUAUUUACAUUCAAAAUAAAAUAAAUAUUUAGAUUUAAUAUUGUACGCCAACGAUUUCUUAGUUGAGUUGGUAAGACAUUUCUCACCUCUUUUUUGAGGUUGAGGGUGAGUCUUUCCGCAAGUGUGAGAGUUUAUACAUUUGUUAUUUUCUUUAAUUUCAAAUUUUUAGACUGGAUUUCAAUUUUAAUAUGUCGAGACAGGUUACAACAAAUAUAACGGACUAUAUUUAUCAAUAUUUUUAUUGUACUAUAGAAUUAAAGAAAAACAAAAGCCCCUUGAAUUAAGUGUUUAACAACAAAAUUUCGUGUAUAGGUAAUUUUAUGUUAUUUUUAUGUUCCACAAUAAAAACUUGUUUAUAUUUUUCAAUAUUUGUUUGCUAACAUACCAUAGGCGGAUUUGCUGUGUACACGUCUAUUUUGUGGCUGGAUUUAUGCCUUGCAAAUCAGUCUAUCGUAGCCUAAUUGCCAGGUAACGUGUAUCCAUCUCGUAUUGCCUAAUGUUGGACUUUUGAGACUCUUAAAUUUUAUUUAAUUAUCAAAAAUCUCUCAAGUUGGAUGUUAUAUAACUAUUAUUAAGAGUGUAUUUUAUCAUUUUCUUCUAUAUAUUGAAGAUUAUGUGUGUUUGGUUUCGUAUUUGAUACAAUUUUAUUCGUGUUGGGUUUGUGCAUGUUUGAUUGACUUAACAGAACUCACGUAUAUGUAGAAUAAGUAACAUUAUCAUUAAAAUAAUAAAUAAAUAAAUAAAUGAAAGACUGAACAAAAUAAAAAAAAAAAUUAAUUAUAGGUGGAUUUUUUUUUUUUGAACAUAACAAUUUCUUGAAUUUAGCCUUUUUUUUCAUUUGUUAUUUAUUCUUCACAAACUGAUUCGUAAGGCCACUAUUUGUCAACUUUCCUUUCACUUGUUCGUGUUCUUUUUAUUCUGUGCCUUGAAUUUGGACACCACAUAUUUCGAACUCUGUUUGUUGAUUAGCUUGGAUUCAAUUCAUGUUGUUGAAUGUGACACAUGAGAAAUAUUGUUGUAAAAAUUGCCUAAUUUGUAUUAUCAUCGACAUCCACUUGAAAAGAUUUCAAGGAUUAAUUGAUUUUGAUAUCAAUUAAUUGCUAGAUAUCAACUAGCAAUGCAGAUAGUAUCACUGUCCUUUUCAAAAGGGGUAGAUAUAUCUCCCUCAUAAAUAUUGCUAACAUAAAUAUAUUUUUCGAAUAUUAAUAGUGAUAAAUAAAUAAAUAGAAUUUGAGUUGUGCUAUAAUAAUACGAUGUUGUAUAUAUUAAAUUUUGGAUUGUAAAAACAUAUAGGGAUUAAAAAAAAUAAAAAUGAAGGGUUUUGGCCUCAUUAAACUUGAAUGAGGAGAAUUAUGAGCGUUCAAAUUCCAUUGUUGUGUGAUUAAUCGAAAUGAGUAUAAAGACUUUUAUGAACUUUUUUUCUAAAAGUUUUACAUUGCAAUGUGAAACAUGCUAAAGAUGAUGUAGAUACAAAAAUUGAGAUGCAAAUUUUGUGGAAAUAUUAUUAUAUCCUCCAUCUCUAUAUUCAAAAUGAAUAAUUUAUAUUGAUGUAAGACAUAGGGCCAGUUUAAUAAUGUUGUAGUUUUUAAAAUAAUUAUUAUUAGGUGUAUUAGUUAAACACUUUGUAAAAUUUAUUUUUUAAGGUGCAGUGAGUUUUAAAAGUAGUUGUAUGUGUUUGGUAAAUUUUAUUAUUAAACUAUUGUAAGAAUAUAAAUGAUUGAAUUGAAUAUAAUGUGAAAUAAAAGUUGUUUACACACACAUACAUACAAACUAAUUGAUAACUAAACUAAAUUUUUUAUAUUAUUAAUUUUAUUUUGUUAUCUCAAUAUAAUUGGUAAUAAUAAUAAUCUCUUUAAAGUUAAUGAUUUAUCUCCUAAUUAAUGCGGAUAGUUUUGAAUUUUUAUAAUAUAUAUAUGGAAUUGAAUUAAGCAUAAAAAUGGUUUUCAAAAUUAGAUUUUAAAAAGUUCCUCCUUCCUUAUUUUUCAAAACCUAUUGUAGGAUGGGGGUAUUUUGUAAAAAAGUGAUUUCUAAAAAAAUGUAUCAAACAUCAAAAUUAACUUUUAAUUUUUCAAAAUUAUUUUUAAACCUCUAAAAAAUAAUCUGAAACAGGCCCAUAGUAUGUUAGGAGUAAUUUAAAAGAAGUUGCAUAACUUAUGUUACAGUGUUACACUAUUAUUGAUGCCUGAUUGAGAUUUUUUAGAGAGAUUUUAAAGUAUUUUUGUUAUACCAACACCUACUUUAUGCAUGUAUGAUAUAUGUGUGCAUGAAUUAAAUAUAACUUCUAAUUACAUGAUAAUUUUUUAAAAUAAAUAUACACAUGUCAUAUAUGUAUUGGACAAGUAUAGUACAAUACAAAUAUUCCACAAUCUCUCAACUUUUUUAUACAACUUUGAUAAAUUGGUCAAAUUUUCUCUAGCUAUGGCUGUGGGGUCCAUUAUAUUUUCGCCUAAUUCUGCUACUUUAGGAACCAAAAAACGUUAGAUGUUAUUUCCUUACACUACUAGAAAACUUGUUCAGUUUUAUACUUUUCUAGAAAUCCCGGCUUUAAGCUUUCGUUUUUCAUGUUUUAUUUAUUUUCAUUUCAUUAUUUUAUUAGGCAAAUAAUUAAAAUCUAGCUAGAAUUCCUUUAUAUGUGAGAAAUUAAUUUCAUUUUGGGGGAUUUAAAAAUUAAGUAACAUUAAGUUUUUCUAUAAUAUAAAAAGGAUUUAAAGCCCUCAAUCUCGUGAACUAUCAAUAACAGAUUUUUAUUUAGUACUUUAUUCUUUCAUCGCUUCAUUAAAUUAAUAUUUACUUGAUUGUUGCACUGUCUGCUCUAUUAUAUCCUCUAUCAUGAAUUAAUGGAUGUUUGUAUUAUUAAUUUAACUUGAAUUUGAUGUCUCUUAUUUACACGAUUUACUUUGAAAACUGGAUCUCUGACAGUUCUACCGGAUACUUUUAACUUAUUUUUCGACUCUAUGCUAACAUCAAAUAAUUAAAUUACUAAAAUUGGAAACAAAGACUGGAAUUAAAAAAUAUAAAGAUAUUCUUCAAGUUUAUUCUUCUUUAAUCUUUAAAUAUGGUAACUAAAGUGAUCGUUCAACUCUAGCUCCAUGCAUAGAAACUAAAUAUACCUUGUUGCCGGAAAACAAUGUUUCUUGAAAGACUCACGAUGAUCAUUUUAGAGAUACUUAACACUUCAAUAUUCUUUGUACAGUUAUUAUCAAUUAAUCAACCGUGAGUUCCAAAGUCUUGAUCAUUCCCACUUGCUUGCUUAGCUUGUGUUUAUUAUAAAUUGAACGUGCUACAUUUUCUUUGUGAAGAUUAAAUGAAUCCGACUGUCUUGCCUGCUGUAAUAAGAUGAUUGAAUCACCCAUAAUCCUUGCAGGUAUAGCCAUUUUGUGUUCAUCCUUGGCCAGUUUUCUAAUUUGGGUAGCUACCUAUUUGAUGAAACGUGCUUAUUCUGCUCACCAUUCAUUCGAUGACCAUACUAUGAUAAUUGCUAUUCUUGAGGGUUUCUUAAGCAUUAUCACUGCAUUUUGCUUCUUACUAUUUGCAGUAACAGCCUGCUCCAUGAUGAUAUAUCAGAACGGGACUGUUCCUCCAUCAGCACCGGCUAACGGUAAGAUUGUGCCGUCUAUGACUUUGCCAACCGAUGAGGAAGAUCCAUCAUUGGAAUAAAUGCAGAUCAAUAGAAUUUCAGAAUUCAGUUUUUUUUUUUUAAUGUAAAUUUUCUUAUUCUAUUAAGGUGAAUUUUAGGAUUUGGAUUCAUUUCAUAUGAAUUUUUGUUUUGAAUUUUGUUUAGAAUGUUGUGAUUAAUAUUUUUGGAUAAGAAUAUGUUUGUGAUUAAAUUUUGAUUAAUUUAGAGGCAUCGAUUGGUUUUCUUGUAAUUAUUUUUAAUUGGCCACGUGUAUUCAAAUCCUGGGAGACGAGGAACUACAAAAUCAAAUUGAGCUUUGCCCAUUUCCUAACUAGUCCCUAUCUUUUUUUUUUUUUUCUUUUUUUCUUUAAAUAACCAUACGUUAUUAUUAUAUAUGCACAUGUUACUAAAUCUUUAAAAGAAAUAUUGGGACGACGUUCAGUUAAAUUCAAUUUUAUGCGAGCAAAACACGGAUUUGGAUUCACAACUGUAAUAAUUUGUACCAUUGGUUUUUCAACAUUGUGGUUCGUAAUAAUUAAUUGAAUAAAAAUGUAAAUGUAAUUAAAUCUCAACCAUCCCUGGUUAUAAAUUAACGCACACAUGGCACAUGGGUGGCUUAAUUUACUUCUAAUUAUUAUUUUACGUCGAUUCCCCUCUUGCGCUUCUACUUGACUUUGAAACCACAACCUCACAAGCAGCAGGCUAUUUUUUGUAUGUUUUUUAGAUUCGAAUGUUACUUAGAGAACAAAUCUUUAUUCCUCACUUCAUAUUUACAUUUGGGGUGCAGUUAAGCUAUUUUUUGUUUUUUUAUCUGAAGUCUGAAUGAAUUUAAAUUUUUCUGAAGUCUUAAUGUACCUGAAUAUGAAUAUUUGAAUGAGAUAUUUAUUUUUAUUUUCUUAAAAUCUGAAUAUAAGUGGCAUUUUACUUUUUAUUUUAUAAAUAAAAAACAUCACAAACAUGGUUAUUUGAUAUUUACAUCCUUGUAAAUCAAAACAAAAAAAGGGGAUUAACUUUUAUAGUUUAGGAAAUAAGUAUAUUUUAUAGCGAUAUUCUUUUAAAUAUAAUAUUUACUUUUCAUUAAAAUCUUUUUCCAUUCGUACAAAAGUUAUAAAAAUUCACUUUUUUUUUUAUUUAGAUGUAAAUGUCUAACAAAAAAAACAAACAUUUUUUUAUUCAGAUGUAAAUGUCAAAUAAAAGAAUAAACAAGCAUAUUUUAGAAAAAAACUGAAAUUAAUAAAAUUUUAAACUUUAAUUAUUUAACAAAAAAACCAUAUAAUGUAACUUACAUUAGAGUUGUGCUAAUAUCUAGUGAGUGAUUCUAUCUAUUCAAUAAUGGUUGUAUUCGGUUGUAACGUUACAUUGUACGUAACUUAGCCGUGCCCUUAAAGCAUAUUGUGCAACUACGUACCUCAAUAUAGAACAUACCCUAAAUCUCUUCCAUUUAAGCUUUAGUUCAAUACUAUAUGUUUGUUAUUAUUAGUCAAGCAUACCCCGGUUUAUGUGUAUAUUAAUUCUACCUAAAUUCUAGAAUUACUAAACUAAUUCUAAGCAAAAUAUUUAUUAUCCAAAAUAUUCCUUUUGUUUAACUCCUUUUUAAGCAAAAUAUUUAUUAUUAUUUAUUAUCCAAGUUACAAACAAAAGGGAGUGUUGUGAAGUAGCGGCUCACCACUUUAUUGGCUUCCAAGUUCCAAAGGCUUAUACAUAUGUGUGAUGCAUAUGAUUGUUGUGAAAAUAAUAAGAAUUGAUUUUUUAUAAUUCUAUUAACAAGGUAUUUAGUAAUAUUUAUAACUAUCUCGUUAAUAGACUCAUCAGAAGCCAAUACUUAUUAUUUUCAAAAUCAUCAUAUACAUCACACAAGUAUAUAGCCAUGGAGGAUGCUACAUUUUCGACGUGGGAUUUGAGCUUUAGACGAAAGUGGUGAGGCAGUACUUCACAACAACAAGGAAAUAAUCAAUUAGAUAUGAGAGUAGGAUAGUUCCUAUCAAUAAUUCCAAAUAAUACACCACAGCUAGCUUGUAAGUUCCAAGAAAUUAUUUCUUGUCCUUUCUAAAGAAACAAGCCGUGUAAAAAUAUCUUUCCGUAUAUACACAUGUAUACAGCUUGUUCAUCACACAAGGAUACAUAUAUGUUCACUCACAGUUUCUUCUUGUUUUCUCCUUUCUUCAACAGGCAACUCUCCUUAAUUCUCACAGAUUGAGCAGCAACAGUUAAGAUGAAAGCAUCACCUAUAUACUUUGCGCUGAUAUCCAUUCUCUUUGUAGCCUUUCAGCCUUUGCCUGUUUGGUAAGUGCCUUAAUUUUGAAAGAGAUAGCACAUCCUCAUUCUCAUCAAGUGUUUUACAUAAUAUCACUAUGCUUACGAGCCUUUUUGGCUACUAUUGCUUCGCUUGGUUUCCUUUUCUUUGCUCUUUUGGCUUGCUUCGAGGGCUUUGGAGAACGUAGUAGCGGCAACACCAUUGAAUCUGCAUCACAGCCACCAGUAAAGCCUAGCAAGAGCAAGAUUGUGCCAACAUCAACAUUACCACCUGAAUUUAGUCUGCAGAGUCCAAAUAUUGUAUAGAUCAGUAAAUAUAUAUAUAUAUAUAUAUAGAGAGAGAGAGUACUGAUAUAUAUGUAUAUAGGCAAGUUAGGUUUUGCUUUUCUUCUUUUUUUUCUUGUUCAUUUUGAGUGAUAAUAAGAAUUAAUAUCAGAACUUAAUUUUUCAUUAGGUCCUUUAACAUGGAAAUAAACAUUAGUUAAGACUUUGUCUAGACUUCAUCUUUGCCCACUUCUAUAUGAAUAUCAUAUAUAUAGGUUUCCCUUUUAUAUUUAUUAUGUCUUCGAUUCAUUUAUUUCUUUAAAUUUUUUUAUGGCAAACCUAGUAACCUAUUUUUUAAAAAAAAUAAAAAUUGUCACAAUCUAUAGAUACAUACAAUUUGUAAAUCUAAUAGGAGCUAAAUAGUUAUAAUUUGUAGUCAAACUCAGAAGUUUACCGACCAUAAACUCGAAAAUAUACUCCCACAAAUAGACAGGGAGAUAACUAUCCCUAUAAAAUUUAGAGAAAUCAAAACUCGAAACCUGAUCUAGUGCGCGAUUUCAAGCGUGUCAUGCUCCUAUUGGGGGAUUAAGGAGCCCACCCUAAUAGAAGUCGCGCACCAUGAAUCAUGAUUCUCUCCUAAUCUGAUCAUGUCCUGAGUAAAUAACUCAACUGCUGAUUGAUUGUUAAUAAAUAAAAAAAUAAAAGAAGUCAAAUCUUACCCAUACACUACCACUAAAAGAUACAUGGCAGAAGAUCUUUAAAAGCUCAGUAAAACUCAUAUCAUAAGAGAAUCAUAAUCCACGCACCAUAAGUUGCACAACUAUACGCACAUGAUAAUUUUUGAUCGAAACCCCAUGGCAUGGCAGCUUGGACUCAACAUAUAUUCAGGGAUAUGGAUUACCGAUAUGGGCUACGGAUCAGCGGCAGCUAGCAACCUUAAUCUGUGAUCGGAAUUAGGAAUAAUGAAAAGAAAUAACCACGAUAUAAUACACCCAGCUAUAUUUAGGUACAGAGAAGCAUAAAUGCCGGAAAAUGUGAACAAGAAGGGGAAGCAACUUAAUUAGCUAAUUUUGAUUAACUUCAUGCAAAUAAUGUUAUUUUCCAGUUCAGUGUGUGUGAGUGCAUUGAAAUGGAAGUUUUAAAAGUCUCCAUGGAAAAAUAAAAAAUAAAAAAUUAAGGAGUCAUUAUUUGCAGCCUUGAAAACUAAGCGAUAUUUCCUUAGUUUUAACUCGGCUAAAAUCACAUGUUCAGAUAAUCAAGUUUUGUCACUUUUUUCUUUCUUUUUUUUUUUUCCUUCCCUUUCAAGAAAUGAACCAAAAAAAAAAAAGUUUGGUCACUCUUUUACAGUAAGCCCAACAAGGCAACAAUCGACAAAGUAGGAGAUUACCAUGCAAUUCGUGAGUUCCAAGAAAUAAUUUGUGCCUAGUAAAUACAAUUUAUUAAUUGUGUUAGUAUACCUAUACAUCUUCAGUAGCAAUCCUUUGUUAGACUAGUAUUUUCAAUAAGUUAUUUAAAUUAUGCCUACAUCAAUUUAUAAAUAUAAAAGUCAUUAGACAAAUAGUUGACGUAAAACUAUGAAAACUGUUAAAAAAUGUUAAUUUUGAAUUAUUCUAUAUAAAUUGAUUAUUUUUAAAUUACUCUCUUAUUUUAAAAAAAAAAAUUAAUUUACCCUCCAUUUUUAUUAAGAAAACAAAAAAAUUUCAUCAUCCCAUCCCUAUUGUCCCUUAUCUUAUGAAUAAAAAUAUGGAUAACUUAAAAGUUUUCAAAAUAAGAAUGUAAUUUAAAAAUAAUCAAUUCAUUCCAAAUUAUUCCUAUUUUUUCACCGUCUCUAAUUCAACCCUUUGACAUCUCUAAUUUAAAGAAUAAUUUUUUUAUUUAAUUUAAGACAAGUAAUAAAAUAAAGUAUCUUUGUUCCCUUGAUCCAGAAGUGGAUUAAUUAGCAAAAUUAUGGUAAAUCAUUGAUUCAUCUGGUGUUUAAAUAUGACAUAAAUAUUUGCCUUUGAUGACCAGUUGCUCAGAACACCAAAUAUUUAAAUCAAAUACAACAAACUAGGGGUCCCAUGUAGGUCGCCUACCUGAUUCCACCACCAUAAAAGUCCUAAUUUAACAGAUUAUAAAAAUCACAUUCUUACAUAAUCAAGUUUUUUUUUCAGCUUCUACAAUAAGUCAACAAUGGACAAAAAUUUUAAAUCGAUAAACUCCAAGACAUAAUUCCAAGUUAGAAAGAUUUAUACAAGGCUACAGUAGAAAAAUAAUUGCCUAAUAUAUAAAUUAAGAUAGCUUAGUUAAUCAAAAUAGUUAUAAUUUCUUCUUCUUGUCUAAUAAUCAUAAAUUCUUUUUUGAGUGUUACAAUGGAAGCAGCAGCUGUUUGCUAUGGGUUAAUAUCCAUCAUAUUUGCAGUCUUUGCUGGCUUGACAAUCGAGCUGACUUUGGAAGGCUUCAUGUAUACUAAUCUUGAUUUGCAGCACAAAGUAUUUUAUAUGAUAUCACUUGUUUUAAGAACUAUUUCGGGUAUUAUAAUUGCAGUCGGUUUUGUUUUCCUUGCUCUUGUGGCUUGUUUUGAGUGCCUGGCGAAACUCGAUUGCAAGAACAACAGAGCUGACGAUCAUGAUUCUGCAUCGCAGAUGCCGCCGCCUGCUAGCAAGAACAAGGAUGUGCCUUCUUCAGUGCGUAAGCAUCAUGAUCAUGAUCAUGAUCAUGAUCAGAAAACUUUAAACUUGGUAUAGAACUUCUUUUUUUGUGCUAAAUCAGUAGUUAUAUAUAUAUAUCGCCCUUCAUGGCUAUUUGAGUUUUGCCUUCUUUUUCUCUAUCUUUUUUUUUUUCCGUAAAAAAAUACCUGAGUCGUGCAUUCAUGGCUUGACAAAAUAGUUAUGCAGAAUCCCUUAUUUUCAUAAAUGAUCUCACAAACUUCUUUUUCUGAAAUACAAAUUUUUUUUUUUUCAGAAAUGAUCACAUAGAUCCUAAAAUUUAUCCAAUUUAUAAUUUACUGUCAUUUUUCCUUGUAUUGCAAAUAUGUAUAUAUCCGCUUGUAUUUGGUGUUUGAUAUUAGGAAAAGAAAAUAAAACUCACUUUUUUUUUUUUUUGAACUUUUAAACAGCAUUCAAAUAAAGAAUCAUUUUUUGGUUAAAGAAACUUUUGAUGGACUUAUGUUUUACGAGGGUCUUAUAUAUUCCAUUGUUAGCUAGAUUCAGG
rnacentral:lncRNA from 1 species